GCAUAUCAUAGCGGAGAAAAGAAACUAACAAGGAUUCCCCUAGUAACUGCGAGUGAAGCGGGAAAAGCUCAAAUUUAAAAUCUGGCAGCCUUCGGUUGUCCGAGUUGUAAUCUAGAGAAGUGUUAUCCGCGCUGGACCGUGUACAAGUCUCCUGGAAUGGAGCGUCAUAGAGGGUGAGAAUCCCGUCUUUGACACGGACUGCCAGGGCUUUGUGAUGCGCUCUCAAAGAGUCGAGUUGUUUGGGAAUGCAGCUCAAAAUGGGUGGUAAAUUCCAUCUAAAGCUAAAUAUUGGCGAGAGACCGAUAGCGAACAAGUACCGUGAGGGAAAGAUGAAAAGAACUUUGGAAAGAGAGUUAAACAGUACGUGAAAUUGCUGAAAGGGAAACGCUUGAAGUCAGUCGCGUUGUUUGGGAAUCAACCUUGCUUUUGCUGGGCGUACUUUCCAGAUGACGGGCCAGCAUCAAUUUUGACCGUUGGAUAAAGGCUGGAGGAAUGUGGCAUCUUCGGAUGUGUUAUAGCCUCUGGUUGUAUACAACGGUUGGGAUUGAGGAACUCAGCACGCCGCAAGGCCGGGUACUUGUACCACGUUCGUGCUUAGGAUGCUGGCAUAAUGGCUUUAAUCGACCCGUCUUGAAACACGGACCAAGGAGUCUAACAUGCCUGCGAGUAUUUGGGUGGAAAACCCGAGUGCGUAAUGAAAGUGAAAGUUGAGAUCCCUGUCGCGGGGAGCAUCGACGCCCGGACCAGACCUUUUGUGACGGAUCUGCGGUAAAGCAUGUAUGUUGGGACCCGAAAGAUGGUGAACUAUGCCUGAAUAGGGUGAAGCCAGAGGAAACUCUGGUGGAGGCUCGUAGCGAUUCUGACGUGCAAAUCGAUUCGUCAAAUUUGGGUAUAGGGGGCGAAAAGACUAAUCGAACCAUCUAGUAGCUGGGUUCUGCGA
rnacentral:rRNA from 1 species